GUGCUCACUUCGGCAGCACAUAUACUAAAAUUGGAACGAUACAGAGAAGAUUAGCAUGGCCCCUGCACAAGGAUGACACACAAAUCUGUG
rnacentral:snRNA from 1 species